UAUGAAAUGCCUGAAUAAAAGGGUUAUUUUGAUAGAAUAAAUUAUGUAAAAUUUACUUUCAUAA
rnacentral:tRNA from 1 species